AUAAGCGGAGGAAAAGAAACCAACAGGGAUUGCCCCAGUAACGGCGAGUGAAGCGGCAAUAGCUCAAAUUUGAAAUCUGGCUCCUUUGGGGCCCGAGUUGUAAUUUGGAGAGGGUGCUUUGGUGUCGGCAGCAGCCUAAGUUCCUUGGAACAGGUCAUCAUAGAGGGUGAGAAUCCCGUAUGUGGCUGAUUGUCUUCGCCGUGUAAAGCCCCUUCGACGAGUCGAGUUGUUUGGGAAUGCAGCUCUAAAUGGGAGGUAAAUUUCUUCUAAAGCUAAAUAUUGGCCAGAGACCGAUAGCGCACAAGUAGAGUGAUCGAAAGAUGAAAAGCACUUUGGAAAGAGAGUCAAAAAGCACGUGAAAUUGUUGAAAGGGAAGCGCUUGCAGCCAGACGUGCCUGUAGUUGCUCAUCUGGGGAUUUCCCCAGUGCACUCUUCUAUGGGCAGGCCAGCAUCAGUCCGGGCGGUUGGAGAAAGGCCUGUGUCACGUAGCUGCUUUCGGGCAGUGUUAUAGGGCAGGUGGAAUACGACCAGCCUGGACUGAGGUCCGCGCAUCUGCUAGGAUGCUGGCGUAAUGGCUGUAAGCGGCCCGUCUUGAAACACGGACCAAGGAGUCUAACAUCUAUGCGAGUGUUUGGGUGUCAAGCCCGAGCGCGCAAUGAAAGUGAACGGAGGUGGGAACCCUCGGGUGCACCAUCGACCGAUCCUGAUGUCUUCGGAUGGAUUUGAGUAAGAGCAUAGCUGUUGGGACCCGAAAGAUGGUGAACUAUGCCUGAAUAGGGUGAAGCCAGAGGAAACUCUGGUGGAGGCUCGCAGCGGUUCUGACGUGCAAAUCGAUCGUCAAAUUUGGGCAUAGGGGCGAAAGACUAAUCGAACUAUCUAGUAGCUGGUUCCUGCCGAAGUUUCCCUCAGGAUAGCAGUAACGUUUUCAGUUUUAUGAGGUAAAGCGAAUGAUUAGAGGCCUGGGGGCUGAAACAGCCUUCACCUAUUCUCAAACUUUAAAUAUGUAAGAAGUCCUUGUUUCUUCAUU
rnacentral:rRNA from 1 species